rnacentral:misc_RNA from 1 species
AGGUAGUUUAAGAUGAUUCCUUUGUAUGAAAGUCAAACUAUCCGCUAAAUAUAGCUCAUUGCUUUACACACGUUGAAUUAAGGGGCUUUCUCUCUGUCCUUAGCUGUUCUAGAGAGAGACAUUUUCUCUCGAGUACUUCCUCAUUUGUUAGGUUUAGCCUCUUCUUCAGUCGACUUUGGGGCUACCUUUACCCCUUUCGAGAAGGGGUGCUCUACCCUGCUCGGAAAGUGGAUUUCUCUCCCACCUUCGAGCAAGGUUGUGAAUAAACUUUUGGUGUGUUUUUGAGGUAGAUUGGGCUUCUUGGUGAGGGGGUGAUUUUGAUUUGUCUUUUCUUACAACUAGGUCAAGUUGCAUGCUUGUGGGUUGUGCUUCUAUGUUUUUCUGUCCUUGCUGUGUUUAUGGGUAUAGGUGACGCGUGAAGUUCAGAACUGAGGCUCAUUUUGUCGAGAUUUUGAAGAGAGUGCAGAAUGCAUGUGUUGGUGGUUAUCGUUAAGGAGCCGAGAAAGUCCAUUGGCCUUUUCGAAAGGCGCGAGUGAGUCGCCGAAGAGUCAUAUCGCCUCCACCCUCUGUCAUUGCUCUGUUGAUCUGUGCUUCCCUUUCCAUGGUUAUGCCAAUUUCCUUUUUGCUAACUCUUGGGUCCUUCCUAGGCUUUGCUCUAGCUUCUGGGGUGAUUGUAGCGGCGAGCCUGUUCUUGGAAUGAUGGUUGCAUCAAUGCGUCUUGCGAUUUUUUGUCUUCCCUGAAAGCCUUCUGUGACAGUGGCGAUGGCGUCCUCUUCUUCGGCGGAUCCUUCAUCUGGCAGAACCAAUUUGGAGUUUCUUUUGGGCCUUGGGCCAGCUCUUUCUGUUAAUCUAGGUGGGUUGAGUUUUUUGCUGGGGCCCAUAUCUUUAUUAGACCACUAUCAGGACAAUGGUUUCAUAUUUUGAAGAUGACUUCAAUAAACUCAUCGGUUAAGA